rnacentral:rRNA from 1 species
GACGAACGCUGGCGGCGUGCCUAAUACAUGCAAGUAGAACGCUGAAGGAGGAGCUUGCUUCUCUGGAUGAGUUGCGAACGGGUGAGUAACGCGUAGGUAACCUACCUGGUAGCGGGGGAUAACUAUUGGAAACGAUAGCUAAUACCGCAUAAGAGUAGAUGUCGCAUGACAUUUGCUUAAAAGGUGCAAUUGCAUCACUACCAGAUGGACCUGCGUUGUAUUAGCUAGUUGGUGAGGUAACGGCUCACCAAGGCAACGAUACAUAGCCGACCUGAGAGGGUGAUCGGCCACACUGGGACUGAGACACGGCCCAGACUCCUACGGGAGGCAGCAGUAGGGAAUCUUCGGCAAUGGACGGAAGUCUGACCGAGCAACGCCGCGUGAGUGAAGAAGGGUUUCGGAUCGUAAAGCUCUGUUGUAAGAGAAGAACGAGUGUGAGAGUGGAAAGUUCACACUGUGACGGUAUCUUACCAGAAAGGGACGGCUAACUACGUG